AUUGCUUCAGGGGCAAGGAAAACCCAGUAAAACUCACAGAACACACCCCAAGUGGCGGAGGCAAUGGCGAGGCAGAAUGUCCACGGCUAGUCAAAACCCGAAUGGUCAAUAUGCACCACAGCAGGCCUCUAAUAGAUUGUUCCUCUGCAAGACCCGAGGACCUUGAGCUCAAACACCCCAAACCUGGCUCAUGAACGUCUUGCCUAAGUCCUCUUUAUUCUGCUUCAUAUGUCAGGCCAUCCGCUUCUCUUCCGUCAAUUACGUUACACAUUCUUAUCUGACCUAUUGUUAUUGCACCCUAAGUAAUCUCCCUGUCCCCCACUUGAUACCAUUAAGCCCUUUGCUGCUGAAGCUGAUUUUCCAAAACACACACGACCAUGCGGCUUCACUGUGGCUGUGGUCUCAGGCUUCUGUCCCUCGGAUCGUGGACUAGCCCGUUCUGAUCUAGGGCUGAUCUGCGGGUCCAGCCUCAGCUCGGGGCCAGCUGUGCCCUGGCAUGUCAUUCUGAAAGCAUGCCAUGCCUGUCCACGCCUCGGCCCCCUUGCGCAUACCAUCCCCAUUCUUCGUCUGCUUGUCUUAUUUAUCUUCCAGCACCCAGCUCACAGCUUCCCAGGCUAUGGUGCGCUCAUCACGCCUCCAGAUCCCACAGCUCCCCGUACAUGUUUCCUUUCUGCCUGCAUCACCCUGGGCUGCUUCAGAUGCAGCCCCUGGAGCGACGGAUAUUUGGGUUCAAAUCCCAACUCUUCUACUCACUGGCUGUGAAAUACCAGAUAAGUCUCUCUGAGCCCCAGUUUCCUCAUCUGUUAUGUGGGGAGUAUGAUCUCUAAUUAUAGGACUCCCAUGAGCAUUAGAGAUGAUGUAUAUAAAAGACCUAGUAUACAGCCUGGUAUAAAAUAGGGGAUGGGCGAAUAAAAUGAAUGAAUGAAUGAAUGGAUGGAUGGGUGAAAGUGUGCCUGAGUCUUCUACAGCCUAAGUCAAUACUGGGAAAUUAUACCAGCAUCUUUGGAUGACAGUAAUCCCGCUUUAUCUACGACCUCAUUUUUUGUGGUUUCAGUUACCCCUGGUCAGACCCAGUUCAGAAGCAAGAUGAUCCUCUUUUUGACAUAUUGUCCAAAGGAUAAAGGAAAACAAAGUUCGAUGGGAAGCUUAACGCUACAAUGGAUUUUAAAAGAACAGAUCGAAUGAAUCGUAAACACCUGAUUAUUUCUCUGAACCACAGGUAAUCUGAGCCCAAAGAGUUAACACAGUCUGAAGCCCCCCAGUGGCCCCAGACCCAGAAAAGUUGCUAGGUGACUUUGCAGAAGAGAAACAAAUAGAAACUCUUUUUCCAAUUGAGAAGAAAAUCAAUGGGAAAAGAGGUGCUCGGGGACUUAACACAUCUGCAGGGUGUUUUUCUUUUUCUGUCUUUUUCCCCCCUGAUUUUUUAACAGCAUUAAUGCUUAGAAAUAGUAAAAAUAAUUGCACUGGCUGGGUUUUGAGACUCACAGAGGAAAACUUAGAAGAAAUGCCUGGUAAGAAGGAUCAAGUAACUCUUAAGUAUAAGCUGAGGAAUAGGAAAUCUUGAAGAGUUUAAAAACAAUUAGAAUUUAGAGUCCUAGAUUUAGAACGCCAAAGACUCCUUUUUUUUUUCUUUUUUCUUUUUUUUUUAAUUUGUGGUAUCCCUUUAAGAGCCAUUCGGUGCAAUUCAUAGCCUGAUUCAUACCACCAGCUGCCUCUGAUUUCAGUGAGAAAUGCAGAAAUUUAUAAGGAACUGUAAAAUGGGGACAGGUUUUUCGUCUUCUAAAUUGAGGUUUUGACUGGCAAACUUCUGAAGGUUUAAGAAACCACAGAGCUGAGCUGUGGGAAGCUGGUUUCUUUUCCGGUCCGAACAAAUAAACACACAAACACAUACCUAACUCACAAAGUGUUGGAAGAGAUAAAUCAGUGCUCUUUGCAGAGGAGGAAAACAAAAAAUCAGCCUUGCGGGCACCGGAGGAAAGUCACAUCUGCCAGCAGACAGCACCCUGUGCUGGCAGAGGGGGAAACUGAGCUUCGGCAGUGUCCCGGCAGGAUUUGCACAAAGUCUCCUGUUUCGAGCUGGGGUGUCCCCGCCGUCCCAGGGCAGCGCCCAGCCCGCAUCUCCCUUCUCAAAGCCCCAAGGAUUGACAAGAACCCCCUGCAACACCCCCAGGAUGCCCAGGUGAGUCUGCCUAGAGACAAGGUCAAACUCUCCAGGGCUGCUUGAUACCUGGUUCCUGAAAGGGCACCCGUGCCCACUCCUGCCCUGGCACUCACCUCAUUUUCCAGCCUUGGGUGCUCCUAGCUGCCUGGCCUUGGUCCCCCCGGUCUGACUUUCCUGUGAGCUUGUCCCCGGUGUGGUGUCAGCGAUGCCUUAUCUUUGUUCUGAGGUCCCUGUGUGUCUCUGGAAUUGGCUGGCAUUCUCCAUUCAGGUCACGCCUUCCCCUGCCUGCAACAGAUCCCCUCUCCCCCUCUCUCCCUCUGCCUUUUCCUCUCUCUCCUCUCUGUCUCUCCCUCUCUCUCUCUCUCUCUCUCUCCCUCCUCUCUCUCCCUCUCUCCUCUGACUCUCACUUACACACACUCAUAGGAACCUGACAGAACAGAAUCUGUCUUCUUCCUGAAAAGAUCUGCUCUCCCAGUUCCUUCCUUUAUCCUGUGUGGCUGGCCCCAGCUCUUCAGAGAAAAUAACUGGGAAGCUCAAAAAGAUGGCUAUAGUUUUCUGCUCGUCUUCAGGACACCGGCAAAAAGACACCAGUGAAGCAGAAACAACCCACUAAGAAGGCAAUUCUGACAUCUACACUAGGAAAGAAAAAAGGUCCAAAUCCCAAAGCCUCAGACAGCCUGCAAACAGCAACAGAUUUUCCUGCGAACAGAGCCACUGGCCAGGAAUGGGAGGGAGCCCCAAGUCCUACAGUUGGCUAGUGGUUCUCCUCCACCUAAAAGCAAAACUUGUGCUGUUUACCAGCUCAGUGUGCGGAGAUCUAAUUCAGCCCAGUGCGGGUCCAUCAACAGCAGGAGAGCCUGCACCCUAUGGGGAUAGAAACACCUGGGCCUGUGUACCAGCCUACACCCUGAGAUUGUGGAGAAAUGCAGCACCAGAUCUAAGUCGAGCUGAAUAAUAAGACAGUUACUUCCCCACGACAAUGGCAACCAAUACUCAAUACGGAGAGAGACGUCUGGGCGUGAAAAAUAGAUUUUGCGGAGAAGCUUUUCUGUGUUAGGAACAGCGCUAAGCAUAAGCAUGGUCUCAAGUACUCCUGAGGAUUUGUAAGGGUCACCCUAUUGUACUCAUUUUACAGAUGAGAAAACUGAGGCUCAGAGAGGUUCUACACCGUGCCAAGAGCAUCCAGCUCUUUUUUACUCCUUUGCUACUACCGCCAAGAGUUGACAUUUGUUGAGCCCUCUGUGUCGGGGACUGUUCUAGUAAUGUGUUAAUUUCCUUCAAUCAUCUUUAUAUCUCAUAGAGUUGGGUAGUAGGCUUAGCCCCAUUUUACAGAUGAGGAAACCGCCCAGAGAGAUUAAGUAGUAUACCCAAGAUCACACAGUUAGAAAGCGACAGGGGACAAAUUUGAGACCUUACCCACGGUCUUGCACUGCUCCUCACUCAUAUAUUAUAAUGUGUCUGGCAUUUCAAAUACAGCAUCCACAGGGAAGCUCGACUCGAGGCAUUCUGGAAAGAGCAGUAGGCUCGGAGUCCGAAUUUAGCUGUAAUCUUUCCAUUCUGUGCGAGCUGACUGUGCACCGUUGGGCCCAAUGCUUUAUUAACAUCUCUGAUCCUGCUUUGCAUCGGGGAAAGGAGGCUUGCUACGAGGCUUCAGGGUGAUUAUGUUUGUGGAAGUGCUUUGCUAGCUGCCUGGUGGUGUAUCUGAGAGAGGGCCCCCCACCCGGUCUAACCCAGGUCACGGACACAGGUACUCUCCACGCUCGGGUACUGCUGCCUUGGCAGGUUUGGGGGAACAGGGGUUUGAAUCCCCCCCCCCCCCCCGAAUUCUUCUUGCCUCCGUUUUCUCUCCAGUUUCUCUAUUUUAACACUUUCAAAUGUCAGUCUUGCCAGGCCUGGCAUUAGUGAGAGGCUGUGGUCGAUAAUGUGGGUGCAAAUAUAUGAGAUGAGAGAAUAUGUUUGAACUCAGGCACUGUUUUAGCAAAAUGUUGCUUUCUGUUUCAGGCAGGGUAGGGGGAAAAAAAAGUUUAAAAGUCCCAUUAAGAAGCCUCAUAGGCUCCUCAGACAUCAAAUAACUCUCGCAAAACAACAUUUUAAUGAUUUAAGUGUAAAUGAAUCAGAAACACAUGGAUUGCAUUUCUCUUGGAAUACCCCAGGGUUUUUAAACCGAAGGAGAAAGAACUUGGCUCAAAGCACAGUGUGCUAUGCAGAGGGCCCUGCCCGUCACAGACAUUCCCUCUAUUCAUGUGGCAGCAGGACUGGCCCUCUCCUAAUUUAGGGCACAUACAGGAAUAUGCAAUCAUUUGUACUGGGCACAGAGGGAAGAGCUUGGGAGAGAAAGCCAUCAGCGUCUCCUUGUAAGUGUCAUAGAGCACUUGAGCUUCCCAGAAUAAUUUCCUGGCCAGAUUUUUUCAAGGCUGCCAAUGUUCAAUGGGAGGCAUUUGAAAUACGUUCUAAGCCAAAGUUCUGCCAAUAGACAGCAGAUCUGAUAUGUGUUUCCCUGGGAGUUCGCCAAGGCUCAGAUGGAAUCUGCAUGAAAACAGGAACUGUGUGUGGCUGGCUCAGUGAAUGAUCUGGGUGAGAUUCAGGGAAGUUUCCCAUUAGACUAGAAGACAUUGGUGAUGUUGUCCUGACCUUUUGAUUUAAAAAAAAAAAAAACAACACUCUCUGAAGUAUCAUUAACAGACCAUGAGAAGUGGGAGGAACACAAGGGAGAUUGGUCUGGGAGUAGGCUCGGUGUCAGUAGGCUAACUUGUAUGUGACCUUGGGCAGCGACUUUCCCGGCUGGGGGGAGGGAGGGGAGGGUCAUCUCUUUGCUCCACUAUAAACUCAGGGAUUGGACCCCGUUGAGAUGAUGGAACACAUAUGAAUGUGGAUGCGAGAACUGUGGAAUAACCCUGCAGUGAAGGUAGUUGCGAGGGUUGCUCUCAUGACCUACGAAGAGAGUCGAGUCUAGAGCGGCCAACUAAUCUCGACACUUGCUUUAUCUGCGAUCAUCACACAUGACAUUGCUCAGGAUUCUGUCGUGGUUAUUCAGAAAAAUAAUUUUUAAGAAGAUUCACCUAGGUUUUUAAAAGUUUGACAAAACGCUUAAAAUAUACAUCCAAUCAACUAACAGUACCUCAUUUAGAAUCCUAAAAUGUAGAACAACAGAGGUGGGCUCAACAGCCCCAGGUUAGAGUGCAAGACAGGGGUCAGAAAUACAGCACUAAGAGGGUAAAUGUGACAGCAUUCCUACCACUAGAACCGGGCUUGGUUUAUAUGUUGUACCGAGUAUUUAUUAUAUACGACUCCUGAGCCGAGACUUUCUGGAAUCCCAUGAAUGUGCUAGAAAAUGUCAAGUAUUUGGGCAAUGGGAUUUUGUUGGCAAAGUCUGAAAUCCAGGCUUCCUAUAGAAUAUCUAAGAAACUGGUAAAUAGCCCCAAAGAUGGCACCUUAUAAUUAUAUUUUGGGUUAUACAAUACAUUGACUAUGUUGAAAGCCAUUGCUUCAGAGCCUAUCAUAUUUUCAGAAUAAUAUUGGGGGGGGGGAUUAAAGAAAUACCAAUCCCUAAACUUCGUCCCAGGAGAUUCAAAUUCAGUGAAUUUGGGGUGGAGAGCCUGAAUCUCUAAUUUUAAAAGCUCUCCUAGGGGCACCUGGGUGGCUCAGUCAGUUCAGCGGUUGAGCGGCCGACUUCAGCUCAGGUCAUGAUCUCAUGGUUCGUGGGCCCAAGCCCACAUGGAGCUCGCUGCUCUCAGUGCAGAGCCCGCUUUGGAUUAUCUGUCCCCCCCCUCUCUCUGCCCCUCCCCGGCUCGUGUUCUCUCUCAACAAUAAAUUUAAAAAAAAAACGUUAAAAAAUAAAAGUCGUCAUGGCAUGUUUUUGCCUAUCUGGGUACAUACACCAUAAUGGUACAUCUUAUCAUUGAUGGCAUUUUAUUUUAGUUUUUAGUUUUAUACAUAUAUAUUUUAACAAUUGUAAAUAUUUAUGCACCCAACAUGGGAGGACCCAAACAUAAAGCAACUAUUAACAUAGAGGAAGAAAUUGAUGACAAUACAAUAUUGGUAGGGGACUUAAACACCCUACUUACAACAAUAGAAGGAUCAUCCAAACAGAAACUGAUGGCAUUUUAGAUUUGAUGAAGUAUCCUUAGCAUGUGCCAGAUGCUUCCAUAUACAUUAUUACAUGUAGUAGUCACGUAUUUUUACAGAGGAAGACACUGAGGCUCAGAGAGACCGUGCCAGUAAGAGAACAACUGACAUGUGGAGUCUAGGCCCCCUGACCCCAGAUCCAGGACUCUUUCCCUUCACCUGCAGGCUCCCGAUCCUGCCUGUGGACUUUGAACACCCAUGAGCCAUGCUAUCACGUGUCUGCAAGAGUUCAGGGAAGGCAAAAAGCAUAUCUGUUGAAAAAUAAACUAUUAGGCUCUGUUAUGAGCUGAAGUGUGUCCUUCCUAAAUUCGUACGUUGAAGCCCUAACCCCCAGGACCUCGGAAUGUGACAAUUUGGAGAUAGAGACUUGAAGAGAGGUUCCCCAGAUGCUAAGGCCACAGGGACCAAGCAGAUCCAACCACAGGACAGAGUUGUUUAGACCAUAAGAAGCAAAUGGACAGUUGGGGUGGCAAAGUCCAAAAUCAAGGAGGCAGCAGAUUUUGUUGCUGGUGAGGGCCCUCUUCCUGGCUUGCAGACUACUUUCUUGCUGUGUCCUCACAUGGGAGAAAGAGAAGAGAAGCAAGCUUUCUGGUAUCUUCUCUUAUAAGGACACUGAUUUAUUAUGAGGGACCUACCUUUAUGAUCUCAUCCUGUCCUAAUUUCCUCCCAAAGGCCCCCUCUUCGAGAACCAUCACUUUGGGGGUUAGGGCUUCAACAUGAAUUUGAGGGUGGGGCACAAGCAUUCAGUCCAUUGGUCAUAAUGAUAUUUUUCCCUGUAUUUUCUUCUAGAAUGUUUAUACUUCUAGCUUUACAUUUAGGUGUAUGAUCCACAUUGAACUGAUUGUUAUAUAUGGCAUGAUAAAUGGAUCUAGGAGAAUUUUUUUUUUUAAUUUAGAUAUCCAAUUGUUCUAGCAUGUUUUGUUAAAAAGACUAUAUUAUUUCUCGAUCAAUUUGCCCUUGCACUUCUGUCAGUUGUCCUGUAUGUGGGGAUCUAUUUCUGGUGUCUCAAUUCUGUUCCAUUCAUCUAUUUGUUGAUCUUUGCACCAACACCACAUUAUCUUGAUUACUGUAGCCUUAGAAAAAGACUUGAAAUCAUGUAGUAUUAGCUCUCUAACCUUUUUCCAAGGUGUUUUAGAAAAAGCUUGUCAAUUUCUACCAGAAAGCUUGCUAGGAUUUUGACUGAGAUUGUGUGGUACCUAUAAAUGAAUUUGAGGAGAGUUGACAUCUUAAAAAUAUUGAAUGCUCUGA